rnacentral:lncRNA from 1 species
AUGACAGGAUCCAGGCGUCGGUGGUGGAUCCGCACGAGCAGCAUCAACGGCUUGGAAGCAUUGCAUGAGGAGGCCUUGCCAUCACCCCCAGUCAGCCACUGCGCUUCUUCAUCUUCUCGCUGUCGUGCUUCUCCAUCUUUUGCCGCAUCAAGGAGAGGAGGCGCCGCUGGCCGCUGCUGUAGCCGGGAGGUUGUCCUCUGCAUCGGCUACGACGAUGAUGACCUCGCCCUCGUCGACGUCACCUACCCCAAGCGUGACGUGGACAACAUGCAGUGGUUCCGGGAAAUCACACUGCUAUACCGUGGCCACCGCCACUCCGCACCCUUCGUCCUCAGCCUCAUCUGCCCAUGGGGGCGAGAAGGGCGUGCACGGCCAUCCUCGGGACCUCGGCACCCUGAUCCGCUACGUCGCGAUCUACAUCAGCGGCUCCCAUGCCUUGUGUACCAGCCUGACUGCAACCAGUCCAAGUACACCGUCAGCGUGCUUCCUUUCCAUGAGGACGGCGGAAGGAUGGCGCGGCUCCUCACAUUCCUGCGCAACAGGUGUGUCACAGUGGCCUGCGUCGGUGCGCACGAGGUGAUGGAGAAGCUCACAGAGGAGUGGGAAUUGGACGUGGCAUGGCCAGCGGAGUUGACGGAUCUGUUUUCGUUCACGUGUACGGCAAGGUGGCCGGGGUAGGUGGCAAGGU